GGGUGUGUAGCGUAGUGGUCAGCGCGUCCCUAAGCGUAUUCAGCGUUGAUUUCUCUCCAGCGUUUAGCGAAGACCCGGGUUCGAAUCCCGGCACGCCCA